rnacentral:rRNA from 1 species
GUCCACGCCGUAAACGAUGUCGACUAGCCGUUGGGAUCCUUGAGAUCUUAGUGGCGCAGCUAACGCAUUAAGUCGACCGCCUGGGGAGUACGGCCGCAAGGUUAAAACUCAAAUGAAUUGACGGGGGCCCCGCACAAGCGGUGGAGCAUGUGGUUUAAUUCGAAGCAACGCGAAGAACCUUACCUGGCCUUGACAUGCUGAGAACUUUCCAGAGAUGGAUUGAUGCCUUCGGGAACUCAGACACAGGUGCUGCAUGGCUGUCGU